rnacentral:rRNA from 1 species
CCUACGGGAGGCAGCAGUGAGGAAUAUUGGUCAAUGGACGAGAGUCUGAACCAGCCAAGUAGCGUGAAGGAUGACUGCCCUAUGGGUUGUAAACUUCUUUUAUAUGGGAAUAAAAUGUUCCACGUGUGGGAUUUUGUAUGUACCAUAUGAAUAAGGCACGGCUAACUCCGUGCCAGCAGCCGCGGUAAUACGGAGGAUCCGAGCGUUAUCCGGAUUUAUUGGGUUUAAAGGGAGCGUAGGUGGAUUUUUAAGUCAGUUGUGAAAGUUUGCGGCUCAACCGUAAAAUUGCAGUUGAAACUGGCAGUCUUGAGUACAGUAGAGGUGGGCGGAAUUCGUGGUGUAGCGGUGAAAUGCUUAGAUAUCACGAAGAACUCCGAUUGCGAAGGCAGUUCACUGGACUGCAACUGACACUGAGGCUCGAAAGUGUGGGUAUCAAACAGGAUUAGAUACCCUGGUAGUC